rnacentral:rRNA from 1 species
UACGUAGGGGGCAAGCGUUGUCCGGAAUCAUUGGGCGUAAAGCGCGUGUAGGCGGCUCGGUAAGUCCGCUCUGAAAGCCCGGGGCUCAACCCUGGGAGGCGGGUGGAUACUGCUGAGCUCGAGUCCGGAAGAGGCGAGUGGAAUUCCUGGUGUAGCGGUGAAAUGCGCAGAUAUCAGGAGGAACACCAAUGGCGAAGGCAGCUCGCUGGGACGGUACUGACGCUGAGACGCGAAAGCGUGGGGAGCAAACAGG